ensembl:lncRNA
UUCUCCUGUUCUCUCUCUUUCAGGUGGAUUCGUUAGCCAGGCUGCAGUCAGUCUCAGCCUCUGGGUGGAGCAUUCUUACCUGGCCUGCCCCACACACCUCUCGGCCACCACCCUGCACAUCACAUAUUUAUUCACGGCGACCCUCUCGAUGGCCUUUGAGUGGGCAGGAUGGAUGCGGUGGAGCUCACUGAAAGCACCGCUGGCUCUGAGCUACAGGUACCUUGGUGUUCAUCUGGACAAUAAACUGGACUGGACUCAUAAUUCAGAUGCUCUCUACAGAAAAGGGCAGAGCAGGCUGUUUUGCUCUUUUGGAGUGAAGGACUGACUCCUGAAGACCUUCUAUGACUCUGUGGUGGCCUCAGCCAU